GCCGGGAUAGCUCAGUCGGUAGAGCACUGCACUGAAAAUGCAGGUGUCCCCAGUUCGAACCUGGGUCCUGGCA
rnacentral:tRNA from 1 species